UUAUUGUUGCAAUUUAGAGCAUAAGUGGAUAUUGAUUCAAAUUGUGACUGGGGGGGAAAGGUAUCAGUCAUAGUUUGACGGUUUUAGUUGCAGCGGCAUCGUGGCAGCAGUUGACUUUCUACCACUUUUACACUCUUUUCUGGAGACCAGAAAGACAAUAACAAUAGGAUUAUAUAGAUGAUGAAGGCCAGGAGAAGUACAUGGAGAAGAGACAAGCAAGAAAGGCACAAAGGAGAGAGGGAGACCUGAAACAUAAAGGCAAAACAGACACACAGAUGAAGAAAAACAGGGGUACAGACAAACAAAUGGAAGACAGGGACAAAGAGAAGGUAUUCAUUUUAACAAUACAUUUUGGGUAUUUAUUACUACUGUUCCAUGAUUGAUUUGCUGUUGUCUUGUGUCACAGUAGUGAAAGAUACUGUAAUAAGAGACAAGACGGAUGGACAACACCAACUUCUGCCAGUGAGCCCUUGCUGAACAAGUUUGGAUUCCAUACCUCUGCACACCACCUUUCUAUGAAGACUUUGGAGAAGCCAGCAACAAAUUAAGGACAUUUCAAUAAUGUACUGGCUGCAUCCUUUACAAACUCACAAUCCCUCUGUAUCUGUCUCUCAACCACUGUAUUGCCUGUCACUAAAUGGCUCUCUCUCUCACUCCCUCCCUCCCUCACUCUC